rnacentral:rRNA from 1 species
AUACGUAGGGGGCAAGCGUUGUCCGGAAUUAUUGGGCGUAAAGCGCGCGCAGGCGGUUUCUUAAGUCUGGUGUGAAAGCCCGCAGCUCAACUGCGGAGGGCCACUGGAAACUGGGAAACUUGAGUGUAGGAGAGGAGAGCGGAAUUCCACGUGUAGCGGUGAAAUGCGUAGAGAUGUGGAGGAACACCUGUGGCGAAAGCGGCUCUCUGGCCUAUAACUGACGCUGAGGCGCGAAAGCGUGGGGAGCAAACAGGAUUAGAUACCCUGGUAGUCCACGCCGUAAACGAUGAGUGCUAGGUGUUGGGGACUCCAAUCCUCAGUGCCGCAGCUAACGCAAUAAGCACUCCGCCUGGGGAGUACGGCCGCAAGGCUGAA